CAGGGUUUUGCUCUCUUGCCCAGGCUAGAGUGCAGUGGCAGGAUCACAGCUCACUGCAGCCUCAUCCUCCCCAGGCUCAGGUGCCCCUCCCACCUCAGCCUCCUAAGUAGCUGGGAUUACAGAUGUGCACUACCAUGCCUGGCUAAUUUUUCCAUUUUUUGUAGAGAUGGGGUUUUUCCAUGUUCCCCAGGCUACUCUCAAACUCCUGGACGGGGAGAUAUGUCCACCUUGGCCUCCCAAAGUGCUGGGAUAACAGGCAUGAGCCACCAUGCCUGACUUAUGUAUUUCUUGAAUGGAUGAUGACAGACAUAGAAAUCACUACAAUAGAAAUAUUUUUUAAGGUUUUAUUUAACAAUGCUAAUGCUUACAAUCCACAUGAAAUCCUUUGUAACUAAACUUACAAUGAUAAAUUCAUGCAAACAAAAUUUUGAAGACUGUUAAUUUAGAUCAAUGUCUUUCAAAUGUUUUAGCCACAACUCACAUAAGAAAUACAUUUUGCAAUGACCCAGUAUACACAUGAUUUAUACUUGAAGCAAAAGAUUUAUUAAACAUUCUGCACUUUGUAUUAUGUCUUUUUUUCAUGCCAUUAGUGACAUACUAAAUUGAUUUGGUGACCCUAGCAAUAUGAAACGCUUAUGUAACAUGCUUUCAAAUGCCAGUGGUCUGGGGAUUGAACCCCUGAGUGGCACCUACAUUUUUUUUUAAGUCACCUGGUUUUUCUCUGUUACCCAGGCCGUACUUGAACUCCUGGGGUCAAAGGAUCCUCCACCCUCAGCCUCCCAAGUAGCUAGGACUACCAGUUCAUGCUACUGUGCUAACUUGGCACUUAUAUUUUAAAAGUCGUGAACGAUUUUAGCUAGAGAAGUUUCAGGGUAGGGGCAGCAUCCACAUUGUAAUGGAUUGAGGAAUGGA
rnacentral:lncRNA from 1 species